rnacentral:rRNA from 1 species
AGAGUUUGAUCAUGGCUCAGGAUGAACGCUGGCGGCGUGCUUAACACAUGCAAGUCGAACGAAGCACUCUAUUCGAUUUCUUCGGAAUGAAAAUUUUGUGACUGAGUGGCGGACGGGUGAGUAACGCGUGGGCAACCUGCCUCAUACAGGGGGAUAACAGUUGGAAACGACUGCUAAUACCGCAUAAGCGCACAGUACCGCAUGGUACAGUGUGAAAAACUCCGGUGGUAUGAGAUGGGCCCGCGUCUGAUUAGCCAGUUGGCGGGGUAACGGCCCACCAAAGCGACGAUCAGUAGCCGACCUGAGAGGGUGACCGGCCACAUUGGGACUGAGACACGGCCCAAACUCCUACGGGAGGCAGCAGUGGGGAAUAUUGCACAAUGGGGGAAACCCUGAUGCAGCGACGCCGCGUGAGCGAAGAAGUAUUUCGGUAUGUAAAGCUCUAUCAGCAGGGAAGAAGAAUGACGGUACCUGACUAAGAAGCACCGGCUAAAUACGUGCCAGCAGCCGCGGUAAUACGUAUGGUGCAAGCGUUAUCCGGAUUUACUGGGUGUAAAGGGAGCGCAGGCGGAAGGCUAAGUCUGAUGUGAAAGCCCGGGGCUCAACCCCGGUACUGCAUUGGAAACUGGUCAUCUAGAGUGUCGGAGGGGUAAGUGGAAUUCCUAGUGUAGCGGUGAAAUGCGUAGAUAUUAGGAGGAACACCAGUGGCGAAGGCGGCUUACUGGACGAUUACUGACGCUGAGGCUCGAAAGCGUGGGGAGCAAACAGGAUUAGAUACCCUGGUAGUCCACGCCGUAAAC